CUUGUGAACACGAAGUUCAUCAAAAAUCAAGUCAGACAAAAAAGUCAGAAGGCCAAGAAACAGAUUUCUGAGCUUGCCUGAAAUUUCUCCGUCCCUGGUUUGAUUUUUAUCGAUAAAGGUGAUCUGGAGCAUACUGGAGGAAAGCAAUGUAGAGUACUUUAUACCAUUGGUCCAGUUUGCACUAGACCUGAUCAAGAGAUAUCUUGGAUUGGUCUAAGAAAAUAUAUCCUCACACAAGACUUGAGAUCUGGAGAUUCUUGUGAAAAAGUAAUGGAGAAGAGUAUCACUUAGUAGAUAAGCCAUUGUACUGUCCACAAACCAAUGGUUUAACAGAACAUUUUCGCUUGAAUGAUGCUGAGUUUGCUGACCUGAUCAAACUUGUAUUUCUCAGCCAGCGGUGUAUGCAGACAUCAGGAACAGUGGCGCAUCGAUUCCUGAGCCGGCGGACCGUAGAUCCGGAGUCCCGGCAGUUCAUCCGGGAGCGGUACCAGGACACGUCGGUUGUCAUCUUCAAGGAGCAGCAGAAGAAAUACCAGGAGGAGUACCAACGUCGUCGUCCUCCCAAACCCCAGGACGAGACUGACAAAGCGGAACCGAGCAUGGUCAAGUACGGUCGGUACGGCAACGAGAGUAUCACUGUGAGUCAUGUUGGGCAGGAUGUGGUGAAAAGGGACAACCAUGUUGUGCAAUCUACUGUGUGUUCUGUCAUGUAGCAUCAUGGCAGAGGUAUCAAUUAAAUUUCAAACCCAUGAGACAUAAUGUUCUUCAGUGUCAUAGUAUUCAGAAUAAUGAAGUACACAUCUUUCUUAGCUAUCUCAAUUGUAAUAUCCAUUCCCAAAUAUUCAACAACAACAACAAAAUGGGAAAUAGUUGUUCUUUUCCAUUCCAAGAAGAUUAAAGAUAAAUCAUAUGUAUUCAGCAGGGCUGCACAAUAUUACAUGUGUAGGUAUUUGAUUAUCAUCACCUAAUGUUCACCUUUGAUAUCCUGAUCUGUUAGUGUUCAGGUUGAGGGAGGCACAGAAUUGAGGUCUAUCCAUUUCCAGACAAGCAAGAAAAAGAGGGGGAGGGGGGGUUCUUGAUCAAAAGUAGGAUACAAUUGCGAAUAAAGAGGUUCUGAACCACCCUCACCCUAAAAAGGAUAAAAUUUGAAGGAUAAAAAUGACAAAAUAGUGAGAGGCAAUGCUGAUUUGGGGCAAAAGAUAGAGCGGAUUCCCCCUGUGACUAUGCUCCCACCCUCACCCGCACCUACCUACUGACUCUUGUAUUAUUUUCUAAAGGCAUAUUGGUAACAGGUCGGCAUUGACUGUUGGGAAACCUAAAGAUUUAUAUUUGAAUCUGUAAUUGCAUCGUUCUGUGUGAUAAGUACUGGUACUUUUCAUGAAACCUUGCGUACCAUUAUAUCAGCUGGUAUGAUAUUUGGUAUCACAACUACUUCAGGAAGUGAUGUAUUUAUUUGAAUUCCUUAUCUUUCUUGUACUCUGAUAUCACGCUGAAUUUGAUGUGCAGAUGUAAUCUUCGUUUUAUUCAAAAGUAAAGUUAAAAAGUGAGAUUAUUACAGAGAGAUAAGAUUCAUUAACUUAAAUUGGUCCAAUUGAUUGAUUGAUACAUUAGUUUACAUACUGUUUUUCUACCUUGAAUUGUAGUAUUGUACCUUGACUGUUUAGAAAUUCCAUGUUAUUUUCAGCUCUUAUUUAUGAGUGGAUGUUGAUUAUUAGGGUCAGCUUUACUAAUAGUGUGAUGAAAUUAUUAAAUGCAACAUGAAGAAUUUCAUUUUAUCUAUCUUUCAUUGGUGGUUAAACAUUCUAAUACACACUGAGACAAAGCAGACUAAAAUAAUAAAAAACAGUAUAAACAUGGCAAUUGGCAAAUAUAUAGGGAUUUGUUUCGAUAGAAAACUACAAACAGAUUUUUACUGAGUAAUGUCUACUACUGUACUAGUAUGCAUACAGAUUAUGAUGUUUGAUAUGGGAAUUGUUAGACAAGAAACAUUCAAUAAAUCAAAGAUUUGUUUUGUUGAGGUUUUUUCCCCUAGCUUUUUGUGCUUAAGAUGUCUAACAUCAUCGUACCUGUACUUAAUUAAUUGUGGGCCCGCUGCUCCAAUAAUGACUUUAAAAAUUAUCCAAAUCUGCAGAUCUUAUAGAUGUAUGAACCUGCACAUUAAUUGUACAGUGUGUAAAGCAUUUUAUGUACGUAAGUUUCAUUCGGGACUAUAUAUUCAUGUAUAUAUUUCAAAAGAGGUUGAUGCACUUAAAUAGCAAUAUAGAAUAAUCAAUAGAUGUAUUUGUACUGAAGAUUUAUACUGGAGAAUUUUGUACAAGUUGGAGCAUGUAGAUUAGUGUACUUAACUAAGGCAGUGUUUAGUGGAUAUGUAUUAUAUCAAUAACUUGUUCAGAUGUUUAGUAUCUUCUAGAUAGAGAUUUCAUUGAGAAAGAGAGAAGGAAAGAAAAGGGAUGAUGCAUUAGCUUUUCGUCAAAUUCAAAGUACCAUGAAAUCAUAAGAGUCAAAUAUCAUUCAUGUCUCUUAUUUUUGCCACAUCUUGCCUGAAUUUGUUUUUGUCAAUCAAUAUCGUAACCUUGACUUCUAAACUGUUUCAAAAUUCUGCAUAUGUGAAUAAUAUCCUUUAACCUUAUGCAACUGAUAAAGUAUUCUUAGUGCAUUUUUGUGUAUUAUAAUAAUAGGUAUUACAUUUCUGCAUUUUCUUGUUUUCUUUCAUUUCCUUUCUUCAAAAUCUUAUCCAAAUUUCAUACCAAAAUUGAAUGCAUGUACUGUAAUACUUUGCAAACAUAAUUGAAUAAUGUCUUACUAAAGGUAAAUUCAUCCUCUUUUCUUUGGUCUGUUGUGCAUAUUGAUUGGCAAUAACUAUGGCCCAUAUUAUGGGCAGUAUUCUCUUAUAUAGUGCAAUAAUUGUACAGCGAUUGAAGUUUAUUUAUGUUUUCAGUGACUGGGUAUGGUUAAGAUCUUAGACAUGAUUUAAACAAUACAUGGAUUUGAAUAGUUAAUUUGUUUAUUUCAAACAGAAGUGAUAGAUAAGUUCUUUAAUAUGCAACAUUUAUCUGUUAUGAUAAGUGCAUAACAAUUAGUGUAGUUCUUCAUAUGCAAAUUAUGUAUUUUGUAUUUUUAAAUAACCAACUUUGAAAAAAAAACAGAGAUGAGUAGUGGAAAAGUUUGAACAAAUUCUGACUAACAACAAAAUUAUGAUAUUAUUAAAGUUGUAGAAACCCAUGAUUAUCACAAAACUGUGGCUGUUGAAAAUAACUUACCACAAAGUUUAUGUCAUUGGAAUGUGAGGUAAGAAGUACUCCAUAAAUUUCAUUAUUAUAUCCCGAAACAAAAUAUUUUCAAGUAUUUUACUCAGAAUUGUAUUGUCCUUUUGUUAGGACUGACGCUAUAUAUUUGAUCACCCCCUAAGUUAUAGAGGAGAAAACUAGAAAAUUAUUUUAACAAAGUGCAGGACUAAUGGGAUAUGGAUAGAUCCUUCCUAUUUGUUACAAUCUACCCUUCAAAUUGCUAAUUUGUGAGAUUUACAGAGUUUUAGUCAUCUCAUUUUUCAAUCACCAAAACUUGUGUUCAUGGUCCAAUUUCUUUCAACCUUUCUGCUUUCUGUUUUAGGUUUUCAUCUUUCAUACAAUUCAUUUUAUAUUCAAAGGAAAUAGAUUUCAUUUUAAUUGUCAAUGGUCAUUGCUUUGUAGGUUUAUGAUUAUGAAGGAUGUCAACUGUCAAUGUGAUAUAGGCCUAUCCUGAAUUUGAAUUUCUGAAGUUACACUUCCAAAUUAGGAAACAGUUUAUACCAUGUCUAGAAAUAUGACUAAAAUAUUUCUUUUUUGUUGAUGGCACUGUUCUAAAGCAUGUUCAAUAUCUUCAUGUAAUUUUUUUUGGCAUUACCUGUCAUGCAAACAUUCAUUUAUCUAUUUGUAUGAAAUUUAUUGGAAAUCUGAUGUUAGAUUUAUUUAUAAUGAUGAUGAACAUUAUACAAGCUCUAUUAUUUCUGUACAUACUUUUUGAACAGCUGGAAAUAGGAAAAUGUUUUGAGAGUUAUAUUAUAUUAUAUUGUAUCAAAUACAUGUAGAUUUAUGUCCCUAGUGAUCAUUGCCAUUUUGAAAAGAAAAACAACACUUUUAGGUGGAAAAUAUGUGAAUUAUUAUUUUCAAUGUGUUUUCCCAUCAGAAUGCUUUCAUUUAAGUUCACAAAGUAAGUUUUGUGUAAAAUUUGAAUGCUGAAAUUGAUGCUUAUGAAAACAGCCGCAUAGUCCUCAAGUAUUAUUAAGCCGUCAUGGAGCUGGUCAAAGCAAACAUUUGAAAUAUUUCAUUGAUGAUAGAAGAGGUUGAAGAAGAAUCUGUUUUCAUUAGAUAUUUAUUGUUUGUUUUAUUAGUAAUGUUCUCAAUGAGAUUAUUCACCACUACAUGGAGUAUAUCAAGGGUGUUUGGACAUUACCACAUUCCAAAUUUUUCAGGUCAAAUAAGAAUAUCCCAGUGCAUAACAGAAUAAUGUGGUCUCUGUACAAGGCCUUAUAUGUCUAUAUUUUUAGGACUGAAAUGCUGAAAAUUUGAUCAAAAUUGGAUAACAAAUAACAAAGUUAUUGAAUUUUCAAGAUUUGCAUUAUUUCAGUGAAACAGUUCUAGGCAUGUAUUUAUGAAUAUUCAUAAGAUGGGCUGAUGCGUUCAUAUCCCCACUUGUUCUUUUGUAUUUUCAUAUAUGAAAUUAGGUUUAUU